UAUUAUUUUUAAAAACCAUAAAUAUACAUAUAUAUGUGUACAUAUAUUUACAUUUUAACCAGAAAGGCAUGCCGCGGUUUUAAGUAAUCAAUUGAGGACUAAAACAUUAAACAAGGUGCCACAAGACAAGACCAACAUUUGAGACACAAACAAAGGUUGUUUUGUGCACAGUUUGGUGAGCUAAAGGAAAUAAUUUUUCUUAUGAACCUUGAGUCCAAUGAGCAACGUGGAUCUUGCAACUGAAAUGGGCAACAAGCCCCUAAGUUAAUAAUAAAUUUAACAAUUUUAAAUGGGCAAAAAAAAAAAACCCCAAAGUUAGUAACGGAUUCUAACAGGCAGACAAUUUUAACGUACAAAAACACUAAACAUAAAUACACACGGGCAAAAAGCCCCAAAGUUAUGGAGGGGUCGAAACCCCCAAAUGGGCUGAAACCACACACAUGGGCUGAAGCCCCACAUUACAAAUGGGAGAUAGCCCCCCGGAUUCCGGUGCAGAAGGAGCCCUAGCUUGUCUGCAGUCAUUGGGCACAUCCAAUUACUAACAGGCAUAAAAUCCCCACCUGGGCUGAAGCCCAAACAAAGUUAGGAAUGGGUCCCAAAAGCCCUAAAAUUCUGGGGGGAAAAAGACCCCCAGAAGUUGUCCCAUUUUAUCUGCAGUUAUAAAUGUGUGCAGUCAGAUUACAAACAGGCAAAAAAAAAACACACAAACAAACAAAAACAAAAACCAAAUACAGAUGUUUAGACGAUUGAUCAGUGAAAAAAUAAUUUUGGGGGGGUCCCCCAUUAAUCCCAACUUGAAUCUUGUAAGCCACAUACGAGCCCCCAUACUCGAGUUCAAUAAAUGAGGCCAAAACAUAUUUUAAAAAGCAGCACUGAUUUAUUUUAUGCUGGACCCAGCAAAAGCUGUGUGUGUGCCGCCUCCCAUACUUGCAGCCUUUAUAUACAUAUCACUGUUUACAGAGUAAGGGGUUUGGGCGGAUCAGGAGACAGCUAAUGGGGAAGAUGCUGUUUUCCUCAGCAGAGAACAGAGGAGUCUAGCAGCAAUUAACAACCUUUUGUUACCUUAUUUUAGCACCUCAUCUGUUAUUUGUAGAGGGCAGCAAUGGUUAACAUAUCAGUUAGGUCACCCAGAGGAAGAAAGGAGAAGAAAAACAUAUACAGUACAGUUAGGGUCACAUUACAGGUAUUUUGGUAUAAUACAAAUAUAACGAUGCUCUUUUUUAUAGUGUACAACAGUUCUCCCCUUGGAAGGGCUGCAGUCUGCCACACCACAGUCGCCUACCAGGGAGGGGAGCUGCUUGCUUAGUUUCCCAGCAUCCUAAGUUCCAACAUGGCCUGGAUCUCAGGAGUCACAGGUGGUUCUUCCUAGAAGGGCCACAGCCGACCUCACCACAGCCGCUUACCAGGGAGAGAUCGAACUCAGGACCUUGCACUUGCCAGAUUAAGACUUUCUAUUCUUCAGGAGGCCAAGGCAAGAGGAUCACUGCAAUUUUGAGGUCAACCUGGGCUACAUAGUGAGUUCAUGCCCAACAUGAACUACAUAGUAAGACCCUAUCUAAAACAAAACAAAAAUUCUAUUCUUUGGAAACAGAUUGCAUGCAGUGUUUCUUCACAUUUUUUAUACCUUAGGAUAAGUAAGUUUAUUAAAUCUAUGUGUUAUUAUCUAUUUUUUAUUGCAAAGGUUCUGUUGAUUUUCUGUCAGCUUUUGAUUUAUAUAUUUCAAAGCUAAUAGAAACAAAUAUACCUUUUUAAUUUUUUUUUCCUUUUAGCUAUAGGGAAUUUCCUUUUUAGGAUUUCCAAACACCUUUUUUUCUCCUUGGGUCUAUCCUUUUUAAUAUAAAGACUGUUACUAGCUUCAUUUUUAUGUUUUGGUUAGCAUAUUUAAUACAUUGGUAUAUUUUUGAAUUUUCCAGGUGUUUUACAUCUGUCUAAUUUUUUCCUUGAGUAAAUGUUUCUCAGAGUGUCAUAAUUUUGGUUAAUUUACAAAGUCUUUAAAAGUUGAUUUUCAAAUACACUGCUUGAGUUAUGUUCAGGCCACUCAGGUCUCUAAUAGAAAAAUGUAUAUGCUUAUAUGAUCUUCCUUUUCCCCUAUGGGUGGUGAGUUGUGUAUUAACACUAAAGAAACUGAUGUGAUUGUCAGCAUUAUGUUUUAUUUUAUUGUUAUCAUGAUGCCUUUUUAUAUGUCUCUGAGUUGUUCAUUGUUAUUGGCAAUGCAAAAUAAAUUUAGCUUCCUUA